CCCUCUCUCUCUCUCCUCUCUCAGGUUUCGCAGUAAGAUGACAGCGGCUGGUUUCUCAGUCUCGGGGGCGGAGCAUCCCAUCUGCCCCGUGAUGUUGGGGACGCCCGGCUCGCCUCAACGAUGGCUGACGACCUGCUGCAGAGAGGUAUCUAUGUCAUUGGGUUCAGUUACCCCCGUGGUCCUAAGGGCAAGGCCAGGAUCCGGGUUCAAAUCUCGGCAGCGCAUUCCGACGAUGACAUCGACCGCUGCGUGGAGUCCUUCGUGGAGGUCGGGCGCAAGCACGGCGUGGUCUCCUAGCAACCAGCAGCCAUAGCAACGCCAUAGCAACAAACCCAACACACACACACACACUGUAAAAUCCAUUCUCUCAUCUCCUAUUAGCUUUAUUAACAGUAUCGCUGGUCCCUCCCUUCAAAGGAGCGCUGACCAUCUUUAAAAUCCAUUCUCUCACCUCUGAUUAGCUUUAUUAACAGUAUUGCUGGUCCCUCCCUUUAAAGGAGCGCUGACCAUCUUUAAAAUCCAUUCUCUCACCUCUUAUUAGCUUUAUUAACAGGAUCGCUGGUCCCUCCCUUUAAAGGAGCGCUGACCAUCUUUAAAAUCCAUUCUCUCACCUCUUAUUAGCUUUAUUAACAGGAUCGCUGGCCCCUCCCUUUAAAGGAGCGCUGACCAUCUUUGAAAUCCAUUCUCUCACCUCUGAUUAGCUUUAUUAACAGUAUCGCUGGCCCUUCCCUUUAAAGGGAGCGCUGACCAUCUUUAAAAUCCAUUCUCUCACCUCUGAUUAGCUUUAUUAACAGUAUUGCUGGUCCCUCCCUUUAAAGGAGCGCUGACCAUCUUUAAAAUCCAUUCUCUCGCCUCUUAUUAGCUUUAUUAACAGUAUCGCUGGCCCCUCCCUUUUAAAGGAGCGCUGAUUUUAAUAAAAGAUAAGAGGUAAGAGAAUGAAUUUUUUUUUUAAAAAAAAAAAAUUUGAAAAUCAAUUAAAAUCAGCAUAAAAAACUGUCCGAUCGUAACUGAGAAAAUAUUAUUAGCGCUCCAUGAAAUAUUCCUGUAGCGGAACAGUGUGUGCGUGUGCGUGUGUGUGAGAGAGCAUUGAAACGAUGUAGUGGUAUACAUUUAUAAAUAAAUGAAUAUAAAUUAUAUAAAAAAAA